AUUGAACGCUGGCGGCAGGCCUAACACAUGCAAGUCGAGCGAGCGGCGGACGGGUGAGUAAUGUAUGGGGACUGCCCGAUAGAGGGGGAUAACUACUAGAAAGUGUGGCUAAUACCGCAUACUAUCGGAUCCCCAAUAGGGGAUUAGCUAGUAGGUGGGGAAAAGGCUCACCUAGGCGACGAUCUCUAGCUGGUCUGAGAGUAUGAUCAGCCACACGGGGACUGAGACACGGCCCAGACGCCUACGGAGGCAGCAGUGGGGAAUAUUGCACAAUGGGCGCAAGCCUGAUGCAGCCAUGCCGCGUGUAUGAAGAAGGCCUUAGGGUUGUAAAGUACUUUCGGUAGCGAGGCGUUAACUACAGAAGAAGCACCGGCUAACUCCGUGCCAGCAGCCGCGGUAAUUC
rnacentral:rRNA from 1 species